UUUGUUCUGUAGACCAUAAAAGCAUCUGACACAAACAAACAAACAAAAAAACUGCUACAAAUGCAGUAUUUGUUACAUUGAAAGAAACUUUACAAACCUAACAUGAAAACAAACCCAAAAAUAAUAGUAAAUCAUAUUGUAUGCUCUUUUCCAUUGCUGCCUUUACAUGAUUUGAAACCUGAUGAAGAGCUUAUUUGCCUUAAAGCUUGUUUUUUACCAACUGUAUCAGUUAAUCUAAUAAAAGAUAAUGACUAUACAAACUCUCUCCUCACAUACAUUUCACAGAGUCUAGAUAGAGGGGAAAAAAUUAAGUUUGAAAACCCUACUUGUGCAGUCCCAUUGAAAGGACAACGAAUUUGUCUGGAUGCAAUAUGUAAUAAAUAACCCUAUGGGAAAAAAACAAAACAACAAAAAAAAAAAAGCAGAAACUCUCACAGCAUGUGCUUUACAAACUUGAAUAACUUGGACAUUUAAAUUGUUUUGUUUGGUCUCUUGCAUAUGGCAAAAUGGCCCAAUUGAUGCACUAAGUACCAUCAGUAUUUCAUUUUUAAGAAUUUAUCUGUUCUCCCUCCCCCUCCCCAUGAUGAUGGAGGAUAGGAUCAGUUUAGUAUCUGGAUCGCUGGCAGUGCACUUGAGUGCUGGUGAGUCAGCUAGAUGGGAAUGCUCCCUCUGAGUCAGUGCGGAGCCAGCCUCCCAGCAUGGUGCUUGGGGACACUCUGGUGCUUGAGCUGCAAUCAUUUAGAUCAGAGAAAACCAAAGCCCUGAACAGUUGCGGUCACUUGAGAUCAGAUGGAAAAAAACAGAGAGAUUAUGCCAGUAUCCUCAGCAAACUCAAAAGAAGACAAGAAUUGCACUAGGCCAGAUCUGCUCGCACUCUGCCAGGAAUCUUGGUGAGAUAGACUUGUUUGUUUUCUGCCAUUAAAUAGUCAAGCCUUUUUCGUUUACUUUUCUUUUUCCUUUUUCUUUCUUUCUUUCUUUCUUUCUUUCUUUCUUUCUUUCUUUCUUUCUUUCUUUCUUUCUUUCUUUCUUUCUUUCUUUCUUUCUUUCUUUCUUUCUUUCUUUCUUUCUUUCUUUCUUUCUUUCUUUCUUUCUUUCUUUCUUUCUUUCUUUCUUUUUCUUUUGGAAGAAACCGUGUGUGUAAAACUUGCUGUAUUUCACACCAGCAGUGGUUUCGUUUUAGUUCUACAGAAAAUGGUUCUGGUAUGGAUAAACUGUAGGAUUUCACAUGACAAGGAAUAAAUCAGUCCUAGCUGUGCUUUUGCAUUGAUUUCAAUGAAGUUUUGAGCAGUUCCAGAGUUUUAAAAGCAUCUAUAAAUCAUCUGAUAGAAAAUAAAAGAUAUUUAAUCACAAAUGAAUUCUUCUUUCAGAAACUAUAGGUUUUUUUUUUAUUCCCUAGCUUGCAAACUGUUUGGAUCAGGGACCUGAUUUUCAUUUUAUGUUCACCUUCUGUAUAGCACAGUUGUCUCCUCUGGGCUUUGGAAUUACCAUCUCAGCAAAGCUGUAAUAAGAGUGAUAACCCUGAUGACAAUUAUGUCCAUAAUAAUAAAUUCAACUCUUUCCAGUAAAUAAUAUGUACAAUUAUUACACUCAAUUUCUGUUUAUAAUUCAAGUAUUUUUAGUUUCCCUUAACAAAAGUUCAUGUCACUGACAAUGCAUCUAAUUAAGUACACUAAAAUGAACAUCUGCCGAAUCUCCAGCCAAAAGGAAAGCUCUGAUUCUCUCUUGCUUCAAGAACAAGAAGGACAUACUGACAAGAUUUUUCUAUUUUUCAUUCUAAAAUACACUAGCUCGUGUUGUAACCAUCAUCCCCUUCACUCACAUGGUUGCAUGGUUAGUUGACAAUUUAUUAGGGAUUCAUCAUGCGCACAUAAACCAUCUGACAAUCAGUUCAGCAAACACAACAUUAACUCUAAAAUUUCAAAUUGAUUCAAGGUGCACAGGUAAGGGAAAAAAGGGGAUGGUAUUCAAAGUAAAACAAAUAAACAUUUACUUUAGGACUGUAUCGAUAUUGAAGAGCACAUCUCCUAAUGUGUGAAGAUUGAAUGAAACUCUCCACAAAGUAUAUGUUGAGAUCUUGACCUGAGAACUCAUGUUACAGGAUAGAUCUCAAUGCAAAAUUGAAAGGAAUGAGUUCUCCACCCACCAACUCCAGCACUGCUGCUAGGCACUAUAAUAAUUAAUCGAGCCUUGAUAUUUCAUCAGCCUUUGAUUACAGUGGAACAUUUCACACAGAAAGUGAGACAAUGUUGCAACAAAGUUAGGAGAAAAAUUCACAUUUCAGCCAGCAAAGUUUAGGGAACUUUGACAUUUGAUUUCACUUAGUAGAGUGAAAAAUUGCAUUAGAGUAAAGAGGAACAUGCUACUUUGAGCGGGAGAGACACGGGUCAGCCAGCAUACUGUCCACUAAAUGUUUCAUAUAUUUAAUAGUUACUGUGAAAGAUAAGGGAGCAGAUUCUCAUUUUUACCAAGAUUUUGAUGCCUGCAGAUGAAGGAGACCUCUUUUUCCACAAACAUACAAACAGUAAUCCCAGCCACUCUGAACAGUGAGUCCUUGCCCAUGGAAUCCAAAGAUUGUUCCAAAUCUCUCAAGUUGGUCUAAGCCUCUAACAAAGUGUUGGACAGUUGAUCACUGGUAGAGCAGACACUGAAAUACAGCCCAUGACACUCAGUGACAUGUUUUGGAGUGAAAGCCUUGCCCAAGGUUAGCUGUGCCAGAGUGUGCUGCCAAGGCACCCUGGCGCUAUGGCUCAGGAGCCAGUGGAGAUCUGCUUUAUACUGCGAAAUGAAGAAUUAUAGAGUUCAUUUUUCUGACUUCCUAUAUUCACCUCAGUAUCACAUGGCUUUCCAGCAUCAAGCCCUUUCCUAGUUGAAAGUUUCUGACAAUGAUUUGAGUGUAAGCCUCAAGCAGUUUGGGAGAGGGUUGUGUGUGGGGAGGUCUUGGUAUGGACACAACAUUUAGAGUAUUUCACCAUUCUUCAAUUGCAUGAUCUUGGCAAGGAGGGGAGAAAAUUAAGUAUCAAGGGGAAAAACAAACUAACAAACAUACUUUACUAUUUUUGAUUCUGCAAAUUCUGUAUGUACUUAUAUGGAGAAAUCUAUUACCCUCAUAUAGCAAACAUUUUAUUCAGCAACAUGAUGUAAACAGAUAAUUUUGUCUUUUUUGCUAGGACUUUGGAUGAAAGAAUGUUUGGGGAGGGGGGGAACACUGGGAUGUGUGAAAUGUAAGAGAGGAAAUGUAAGAAGAGAGAAAUCAGAACAUGACGCAUAAUAAGGCUACAGAAAGAGCAGCUGAUAAAAAAAAAAGAUAAGCAGUAAAGAGGAAAUUAAAAGACAACAACUUAUCCUCUUGGAAUUAAUCAAGAAAUGAGAACAUGUAUGCCUGUAGUAACAUCUCCAUCUCCCAUUGGCAGUUCCUCCAAAAUCCAGGGUGUUCCCUGAAUCCUGGCUGACAUCCAGCUUGGGUAAUUAUAUUCUACUUACACAAAAUUCCCCUUGCAGUUUCAAUUGGACACGACUUUGCAUCCCAACAUUUUCUGCAGUGUGGUUAUGUGUGCUUCACAGCAGAGAUGGCUGCAUUUCAGUAGGGAGCAAAGUUAUCUUCCUAUAUAGCUCAUAUACUAUGUUAUAAAGCACCUGGGACCAUUCUGCAUCCAAUGUGCUCAACACAUUAUGUUAUCAGAAGUAUGCAAGUUAUUAGGAGAAAUAGUAUACAGUAAUCAUUUAUCUAUCAAGAUAAUAAAUUUUGUGUUAAGUAGGGUCUAAGCUAAAUCACAGCACCAUAGUAGUGCUCAGAUGGAAUUGAAUGGCACAGUUAUAAAAGUAAAUGAACAAGCCAGUAUGGCUACAGCUGGGAAAAGUAAAUCAAAGGCCCAGAUCCUCAGUGUAAGUAACAUGAAUUCAUAGAAGCUCAGCUAUUUACACCAGUGGGGAAUCUGCCUCAAAAAAACAGGCUGGCAAAGAGAGAAUGACCAUCCUUCCCAGUGUUUUAAUGUUUUCCCACCCAGCAGAAGCAAGCAGGCAUUUUUUAGCAGUGGUUGAAGACUCAUGGGAGGUUAUGAAGCCAGAAAAUAAGAGUAAGGGAAAAAUCACACAGACACACACAUAAAUUCAAGGGAAGAGCCAGUGCCAGCAGAAGAGAAAAGAGUGAUUCAGAAUGCAUCUAGGAUUGUAGCCACAGGUGAAAGAUCCAUAAGAGGGGAAACUGUGCUGUUGCCCAGUAGCUUGAAAUGAAAUCCGACUUCUUAUUAGUUUGGGAUAUUUAAAAAAAAAAUUUAUUUUAUGUUUAGAUCAAAAGGGCAUCGAGUAAUGCAAUCCAUGUGUUUACACAGAGAACAGCAUUAGUAUGGGGAUGCAUGGAAACCACAUGGGAAUAUCUGCUAAAUGAGACCAUGCCAAAAACAUCCAUUCAGCAGUCUUGCAAAACCCAUUGUAUGGAAGAGAGUUGACCACUGCAUAAUUCAACUGAGAGAAAGGCACUGAGUGACUGAGUGCAGCAGCUUGUGAGAGAGAGACAAGUUUGCUGUACUGGUCUAACGUGUUAAUUUCACAAUCAUUUCCACAUUCAGAAUUAGAUGAAGCAUGAUAGACUCCACAAUGAAAAGUAUGAGAUAAAAAUGAAAUCAAUUAGAGUAGACAAAACAGAGCAUUCAGCUUCCAGAAUUUCAGAAAAGCAUGCUUAAAAUAAGAAAAAAUAUAAGUUAAUAUUUGAUAAAUUAUUGUUUUAUUUAUCUUCCUUUUUGACUUACUGAACAGUCACUGGCUCUUAAUUUAUUACUUCUCAGAGUAAAAUGUAACACGAAAAGGACUGUAUAGUAAGAAACACAUUUUCUAGAGCAUGACUUUUCAGUUCAACACAGCUCAGUUGGAUCCACAAAGUAUUCUUGUGAGAGAGAGAGAUCCACUUAAUCCUUCAACCUUGGUGAGGUUAUACAAAUAAGGAAUUAUUGGGGCUGUGUGGAAUCUAGGAUUAUAGACACUGUUUCCAAAACCUCACGAAGACAGAGGUAAAAGAAGAAGCCAGGAUUUGGCUUCUUCUAAAGAGGAAAGAAUGUCAGUUGUGAAGGUGAAGAGUUUAGCUCCUGCUGUGUUUUGAUUGACCAGUUAGUACUGUUACAAACCUCAGAAGAUAGCAAGAAAAUAAAUGAGUCAACUGAAGUAAAUUAAAAGAGCUAAUAUCAGAGAGAGAAGAACACACUGGAUACAAUAAAAAAUUGAUAGAUUUAAAUGGGAAAAAAAAAACAGAAAAUGUAAUUUAUUUUAAAAUAGGAGGAACUUUUGAAGUAUAACAGCUGUAGAUAUUUCAAUACCUGAAAUAAAAAAUAACCUUUUCAGAAGCAACAAAGAUAAUUGGGAAUAAAGCUUAAGAAAAUGGGUCAAGGAAUAUUUUUAUUAUUAUUUUGCACAUACUGUGUGGUAUUUUGCUGAAUUACAGAACUGCAUAUCUGAAAAUCUAACUGAAGCACAAGAGACAAGAUUUAAUUCUUUAUUGCGGGUCUGCUAAUGCUCUUCAGAAUUAAGCUAAAUUACCCUGUCUUUGAAGCCUCAUAUUCUUGACAAAUAUCUAAGACUUUUUGAUCUUUACCAUGUAUUUCACGCUGGUCCACAGUGAACUUUGCAAAAAAUUAGCUUUUGAUUUUGUCCCUUGCAUUUUGUCAACUGGAUUCUUGUAAGCUUUGGUUUAGCAACUUUAAAUCUCUGCUUCACAGAGGCUAAUUAAAUUAAAUCAACUGAGUGAAAAGGCAGCCUCUCAGGUCUGCAGUAGAACAAGAGGCAAUCCCAUAGGGAUGAAGAAGGGUAACACAGCAGCAUGUGAGCUUCUCCCCUUCCCCCUUCUUCUUUGUGAAAGCUGUCCUAGGCACUGUCCAGGAGACUGUGAGCUGAAACUGGCGUCUACCGUCAUCUAACACUGGGCACAAGAAAAUAAGCCAAAGAGACAACAGAAGGAGAAGAGAAGUGCCAAUGUCCUCACUAUUUUGGCGCCAAGUGGAAAUAAACUCUACAUUACUAAUUUGUUUGAUUAAGGACACAUGACUUUUCUCCAUACACUUGUGACUGGUGAGAAAGCUGCUGGAAUAUGGCUUUUGAAAUCUUGUAUGCCAUUGAUUGCAGCUCACACACUAUGGGCAGAAACUACUGUGUUAUCCCCUGAUUAAUAGAAUGGCCUCACUAUAGGAAAAUCUGUAAAGCUGAAAAAGCUUAAGGUAAUUUCUACUGGUACAUGACACAGGCUUGCAAUCAGCUGGCGUAAUUUGGUGCCAUAGUUGUUAUCCUAUCAGGUACAGGUGCAAGUUUAGAAAUCUUACCUCCACGGGAAUGUUCUUUCAUACUGCAAUACAAACUCAUUGAUUAACAAAGUUUAAGUGACCAAAACAGUAUUCAAAAUUGAAACUGGAAAUUAUUUCACUGUACUGUAUAAAAUGGCAGUAACCUUUCCUUUCCACAUUUGAUGUGGUCUUCUGCUAAGUGAGUGACAAUCUGGUUGCACAAAGCUCAAAUCAGGGGACAAAUCUGCUAGGAGAGGCAACACCUGUUAUUUAACUGGUUAAUAACACUGUGGGCCAGAGGGGAGAUGAAAAACAAAUGCUUUCAAGCACACAAGCUCUUCAGAAAUAAAUCUCAUGUCCUUACACUCCUUAAACUCAAUGGGAAUUUUACCAUUGACUCAUUCAUCUCCCAUGAUAUUUAAAUUGCAAAUCGUGAGGAUGUAAGAUCCAUCCUAAAGGAAGGGAAAUUGCCUACCAUUAAAGAAAUGACAGAGUUGUUCUAAAUAAAGCCUGGAGUGCUGGAGCAUCAUGACCCAAUGUAGGUGUAGAGUUCAGAGAAGGCAAGUCACAACACUUUUGUGCAGUGGUUUACCCACCUGUUAAACGGGUCUAACAGUAAACCUCAGGAAAAUAGAGAUGAUUAAUUAAUGUGUCUGAUGUUCUCCAAGAUUCCAGAGAGGAGAAAGAAUACACUGCAAAAUAUUACUCUGAUUUUUUGUCAUUUUGGUGAUCCAUCAUCCUGCAGCACUGUGGGGACAGGAACUACUGCUUGAUUCAGCAGGCAGACACAUGCAAAAGCUGUUGAGAUUUGCCUUUGUUGUGGGCUGUCAAAUGUGUUUUUAUUUUUAUUUAAUUAUUGUCCUUUAUUGGGAGUGAGUUUCAAUUCACAGUGUUUUCUUGGGCCAUCAGAUUAUGAGGUGGUACCGAGGGAAGUGCUGCAAAGUAGGUCAGGUACCACAAAUGCAACCAGACAAGUCACUCAGGGGAAGAUAGCUAUUUCAAAUAAGACAGAGACUACAGCCUGGAAGACAAUGAUUAAAGCUUAGAAACCUUUUCUGAAGCUACUGCAUGAUAGCCCUGGAUGACUACAGAUAAAAAGUCAGAUAAAGCUGUUUUACUAUCAGCUUUCAGUCGUGCUAAAAUCCUGAUUCUGUCAACCUUACACUGAGGACUAUACCUUGCCUGGCAAGGGGACCCAUUUCCUGUGUUCACACAGAAUAAUUGAGAUAUGAACCUACACACUUGAGUAGUACUGUCUACAUUGAAUAAACUUUGCUAGGACAUUUGAAUUUUUAUCCAAAUUGAGACCAUUUGUUGAAUCUUUUGGAGGUCUAAAACAGGUGGGGCUUAAAAACUUGUCAACUGCCCUAGGUAUUGAAAUAUAUGUCUAUCACAAGAUGCCUUCAAUAUUUAUUGAACUCAAGAUAUCUUCCCUCACUUAUAAAUGGAAAAUAAGUAUUUCAGAGAUGCUUACAUAUGUAGGUCACUCCAACAGUAAUGCCUCCUAUUUCUUUUCAUAGAAACUGCAACGGAUGCAAAAAGCACAAUAACACUGUUUGACAGAGCAAAUGCUCAGCUACAAAACACUACUUUUCAGCAUGGUCACAACCAUUAGAUAUGCAUUUCCACCAGCAAUGAACAAGAGCCUGUAUGCCACGCUAGCAGAAAUCUGCACCCACCCACUGUUGAUGUUGACACUGCUGAAAUGCACCAUCCACCACCUCACAGUGCUCACGUCCAAUCUUUGGUCUCUAUAAAUGUUCAGCAAGCAUCAGUGAAUGUCCAUGGGUCAUUAUUUUCUCAUAGAGGAAUUCAGUGACACACCUUCAAUCCAUACACACUCCCACGUCAGACGCCAUUUUGUCAGACUGCCCCUCUGCUGCCAUCUGUUGCACAGCAACAAAAUGUAGGGGAAUACAGUCAGGAAGAUUCAAUCUCUACUGUCAAACCACCAACAAUCACAUCUGAUAUUGUAGGUCAACAUGAUAAAAUAGGAGGCAUUACUCUUAGAGUAGCCCUAUAUGUUUAUAGCCCGUAUAUGUUUAUUUUAUCUAAAUCUGUUUUCAUCUGCCUAGCUUCUCAUUUAGCUGUAGUAAUAGCUUCCUAGUCCAGCCUCGUCAAAUUAUGUAAUCAUUGUUCAUCUUUAGCUGCACUUUUCCUUAUUCUAUUACAUUGGUCUGAAAAAGACUGAAUUUCAUGAGCUUCCUAACUCUAUUGCUGAGCUUAUGACUGCUUCAGUUUUUGUCUGUUCUUUAGGACUAAUGCUUUUCUAAUAUAUUUUCUUUGUUCUAGAAUGAGAAAGCAGAAAAUAAGCUAAGUCUGUUUUUUUCUGUCAUUUUUGUUUUUGUUUUUGUUAUUUUGAUUUGAUUUGGUUUCAUUUUCCUCAGUAAAAUUUUUGAUUGAGAUAUCAAACUGUUUCUGAUGUUGACUUCUGACAAAACCAAUUCUAUCAGCAGUACCUCAGUAUGCCAUAUAGUCCUACCACUCUUUUCCUUCACCACCUUGUGCAUGUUUCAUGUUCCUGGGCGGGCAAGCCUUGAAAGAAUGCUGUUACACAGCUCUUGUUUAGUGUUUAGAUCUUUAAUAUUUAGAUCUUUAAAGCAUUUUGUGUCUAUGCCUAGCAGGAUUUGUGCCAGUUCUCCAACAAUGUAGUUGAAUCAGUAACUUGGAACCUAUUCCAUGAUAGUGGGUCCAGCAGUCUGCUCUGGGUAUGGAUCUUAUGAGUCCUGCAGCCUGCAGGCCUCUUUGCCAAACAAUGAUAUAAUCAGUGAGCUGCCAGCUCUUGGAUCAAGGAUGUAUCCAAGAUAUUUUAGGCUUAUCCAAUUACUGAAUAAUUGUGUUUGCAAUAACCAGCUUGUGUUCAGCACAUUUGGUUAUUAGAAGAAAGAUGAUUGCUGCUGACUCUCUCAGUGCCAGUACAGCCAGCAAAACUCCACUUUAUUAUGUCUCCACCAAGCUUAAAGAAGUUACCUCUGAGUGUCAAUUUUUCUGCCUGUGGUGUCACUACAAUGAUAUCCUGCAACCCACUCCUAAGCAGUUCAUUCACACUGCUCUCCUCCAGUGGAGUUAGCAUACAGGCAUUGAGAAUAUUGGCAGGAUGCCUCCAGUUUCCUCUCUUCUCCUCGCUUACACAAAUACAGAGCCCUCAAUGAUAAUCCUUAACUUUACAACCAACACUUGAAGCCAAGCCACCCAGUGAGCCAGGAGAAUGUGGAACUAUUCUGAAGCACUGAUGGGUAUCACUGUGCUCCUGCAGGCCCCUGUCCCUCCAGCGGGUAGAAACUCAGUUUACAUCCUCCUGGAAGGAACUGUUUUGGAUCUUGAACAAGUCUAAUGGGGAGUGAAUAGGCAGCUUCAAGGGUCCUGACAAAGUGUGCAAGUGACAAAUGAAAGGAAGAUGUUCAUUUAUACACACUAUGUGUGAUCUUCUCUAGGGCUGGGGUAUGAAUUUUGCUCUUGACCACAGUCUUCCUUCUACUUUUGUUAAGCUGUUCCAAAAAGCAGGCCCUUGGAGAAGUGUUCAGCACUAUAGGAACUCUGGAUUUACGUUGGAUGCUUUUUAAAAGAGUGGCAGAGGACAUCACGUCAGUGAGAUUUCACCAAUUCAAGGAAAAACCUUGAAAACUCUAAUCAAGUCUGUCCCAUAUUCAUGCAACAGUAAAGACAAAAGGAUGUAAGUGCAUCAAAGUCUGUUUUUGAGUCUGACUGUAAAGAAUAAGUUAUUAUUCUUUGGAUUAUUUUUUUUUACAUUUCAAUGUUAUUUGUUGGCUCACAGAUAUUUCUUUUUCUUUCUCACACCUCAUACUUUGGCAUGACAACCUCUAAGCAAAUGCUACCAAGAUUACAUUAGGAAACCUCACUCAACAAUGCAGGUACAGUAAAAGAAAAAUGAAAAUGAAAACAAAAAAAAACUCAGGAGAGAAAAAAAAAAAAAAUACCAACAAACAUGACAGAACCGCUUUGUUUCCCAAAUUAUCAUCAGGCUGUCCAGACAUGGAGAAGCAGUGAACAGCUAUCACAGUGUGGAUAAUAUAGAGAAGUGCUUCCAGGAACAAUGGGAGCAGCCUCCCGUAUGCAGAAUGGGAGCUGUCAGUGGGAAUUAGUGUCCCACAGAUCCUCCCCAUCUCCCAGUGACGGAUCCAGAAGGUGUGCUUGUGGGGUCAGGUGGGAAGGCAAAGCACUGAAGGUUGCAACACAUCCAGUGUAUAGAGAGUAUUAUCAAAUUACUUUGUCAUCUUUAACAGCCCUGCAGGGACUGCAGUGGAAUCUCAGUCCCUUUUUUAAUGAAUGGAAGUUUUACCCCGAAUAGUAAGAGCAAGAUAAAUACUUUUAGCUGUUUUACUUAGCUCAUUUUUUCUUUUCCUCCCUUUUUUUUUUUUCCUUUAAUUUUAAAUAAUUACUGUUUUAAAGCCAGCCAAGGCACAUAGGGUUAAAGAUGUAAAAUCUCAGCAUGGUGCAAUAAAGCUGAUACUGAAAUAGUGUAUCCCUACUGUAGGAGGAAUCUGCAAUCAGGACUUCCAAGCACAUGCAAAAAAUAACUCUUGGAUCAGUCUUCUUGUCUUCCAGUAGACUUGGCAAGAAAGGCAAGCCAUAUGUGAAGCCAGCCAUAUAUCAGUUAUGUGGUCUUAGAUAUUUGCAAUAAAACAAAGGACUUUGCUGUCAGCCCUUCCUGAUUUCAUGAAGCCUUUACAGCUCACAGUAAUGUCUCUUUAUCAAAACCCACAAAGUUAUCCUUAGACAUGUGCAUUUCUUAGGGAAAAUAUUCUCUGAAAUAGCUAUUUAUGAUUAAAUCCAUCAGGGAAAGGGGAAGACAUGAAAGGACUUAAUACAGCCAGUUUCAGCCAUGCUGAAUGCAUCUAGGAAUAACAAACGAGUGUAAAAACAAUUAAAAAUAAAAUAAGUAAGACUGGGGGAAGGGAAGAGGGUAGAAGAAUUAAAAUAGACAUACACAAAACAAUAUGAUCAAGAAUGAAAUCUUUGUGACAGUGAUGUGGAUGCCCUGGUAAAUUAAGUGGAACUAAAACUUCACACCAGAAUUGCUCCUGGCCAUUUAUUUAGGCAGUAUUAGCCAGCAGUUUCAUGCAGGGAUCGUGCUAGGAGUGGGUUCAAGGAAAAAAUUUUGUAAGGGUGUUUUUCCCAGCCAAUGUGAGGUGGAUGGUCUGCACACAGGGAACAAGAAAGAUGGCUGAGAAUAGUUCAGAGUGAGCCACGAAGAGAGGUCAGGAGCUAAUGAAAAGUUAGCCCCCGGACCUGCAAAACCACGGGGAUGUGAACAGCCCUAUGCGUGUGAUUGCUCAGUUAUGUGAAGUUCACUGCGUGCUCAAGCUCAGGGUAAGAACUUGUUUGAUUUGAUGUAGUAGUGAGAGGAGUCAGGGGCGGGAUUUGAAAAGUGACGUGAUUGCAGCAGUGCUUUUCUGAAACAACUUUACAGAAAAAAUUCGGAGAGUGCAUUCCUUACAAAACUGAUAAGGUGUUACUAUAGAACUGCAGUAAUGACUUUGGCAAACAGUUUGUGCAAAUUUCUAGACUAUAAUUGCAAAUGUGGAUUUUUAAUCAAAUAUUAUUAACUAUUACAUAAUGAAAAGAAAUAAAAUCCCAAUAGACAGAUUAGCAUUUUUACUCUCUUUAAAAAACCUGUUUUACAAUGUUCCUUUGAGCCAUAUCCUAAGUUUUAAAAGCAUUUGGGUUUUCUAGAUCAGAUUCUGCAAGGCUCUUGGGCUAACUUUAAGUAUGUGAUUUGUCUAAUUGGAAUUAGCAGCUUGCAACCACGUAUGUUCCUAAGGAUCUUGCCAUGUCAUGCAGGUUUUCUUUUUUUUUUUUUUUCCUACCUUAAAACCCAAUCAAACAAACAAAAACCAUAGUUAAAAUCGACUCCUGUCCCACCUCUUUUUGUUUAUUUAUUUAUUUUAAAUUCCCCUAUGUUAAAUCUUCACAAAAUCUUUCUUAUCACCUCGUGGAUUAAUUGCCAGUGAAAUAUUUGCUUUGGAAUGAGUAUCUCUUACUAAUGUGUCCUGCUCAGUGUUUAUGACUUAUAACUAUUCAGGGCAACAUACUAUAUUAUACAAAUAUUUGAAGCAAUCACAAGGGGGGCAAUGCUUUAACAUAAUCCUUCACUCACAAGUUGCCCUUGCAGCCCUUUUCAGUUACUUUUCAUUAUUUCACCACAGGGGAACAGUCUCAAUAAAUUAUUGUAUUAACAAUUACAUUAAAAAUGAGCCCUGGAACCCCUUUCUCUACCCCAGUAAAUGUCAUUUAACAGUUUUUGGUGUGGAAAUAUGCAACAGAUAAGUCAAGUGGGUUUUUCUUCUACUUCUUACAGAGGUAUGAAAAUAUCAGUAGAUGCUCAGAUCUCCGCUACUCAAAACAUUACGGGUCAGAUCCGAGCAGAGUGGAGAGGUCAGUGCUCCAUCAUCACAGCUUUAUAUCAUUAUGGGCUUUAGGGCAUAAUAGCCUGCAAGGAUGCUUGGUUAAAAGAUGGGAAGGAAACCUGAAAAAGGUUAAUUACGGCACGCACAGCACUUGACAGUUCCUUUUCAAUCUGAUUCAGCUCAGCUGUGAAUGCCACUGUGUCUUCUGCACAAAGAUCCCGCUCGCUGCUAUGCCACUUGCUGUCACCCCAAGGCAGUUGCGUGGUUUGCCCACAAGGACAGAUCCCAACCCCAAACACUGCAUGUUUUCCAAAGGGUGCACCUGCUUUGCUGUGGAUUUGGUGCUUAGAGCUUGCUGUCUGAAGCCUUAACACCCAGAAACUUGUUUUGACAGUUUGGGUUAUGUUCGUUAGGGAAUCCAAGGAGGGAAUAUCUCUGGAGGGGGCAGGGAGGAGAGGGAAAGAAGCACAAACAAAACAAAAACUUAAGCCUGUGACUAAUUGGCUGAAAGGAUGUGAGCAAUUCGGCUCCACUUAAUUGAAUGUGGGCUCAAAUUAAAAAGAAAGAGUAAUUGCCUUCAAAACUUUGCAUUGUAGAUUGCUGGUGAAAGGCUUAGAAGGUGAAAGCCUUAAAGCACAUGUGUCAGUGAUGUUGUUGACAGGAACCCAAAUAUCCUGUUAUAUGCAUCUGCAUUCAGAGGACUUCAUUCUAGAAGGGAUUAGCCUACAUUAUAUUGAUGGUUUUAUUUACAAGAUGAAUUUUCAUUAAAAAGGUACCCUGAUUUUUGCUAGAAAUUUCAGAAUGUGACCAUGCCUUCUAACUGCUAGCUGCCUUCUAAACAUUUCCUGAUCAGAGAACCUGAAAAUAGCUCUUCAGAUUUCAAAGUAAAUAUAAAGAAUCUCUGCAUUUGGUUACAAAUCCGCAUAUUCUUAUUCAUUUGUUCCUUCAAAUUUAGGGAGAACUUCAUCUGAGCAAAGGGAUAGUUGUGUUAAACACAAAUAACCAGGGAGUAGGGAGUCAAGGAAUUUACCUUGAAAGUACAAAUCUGAGUUAUGAGACCUUUUUAAAUAAAAAUCAGGAAUUAACUCAUGCGGUCUGUACAUUGCCAUUUAUUCUUUACAUCAAAGCUGCAUCCACAAGUUCUAGCCCCAUUGUGCUAUGCACAAAGACACAGAACAAAAGAAAUGUCCUACCUCUCAAAAUAAUUCUCUGCAAGAGUAACAAAGACCCUUUGUUUGCUAUUUAAGCAAGAUUGGUGGACAUCAUCUUUAAGAAGAAGCUCUGAGAAUCAACCUUUUCUGUCCUUUUCCAAAUAUGCAUAUGCACAUUUUUUGUGAGUCUGCUACAGUAAAAAGGCUCCUAAAGGAAAGAAUGGAGCAGAGCAAAAGGAAAAUAUUACUUUAUAUUAAUAACAAAUGGAGUGCACAACGCAUUCCACAUACAAAGGUUACCCAUCUACAGAGAUGGAAGCCAAGGGCAUUUUAAAACUUAAAGAUCCUUUAAAUAAACAUAUUGGUUUAAGUAGGAAGCAAAUAUUCUUAGCUCAGCAGGUAGUUGGUAUCUAAAUCACAUUCAGACUUCACAUAAAUACACAUGUCAAAGCAUUUAUCUAGUAAUAAAAAAAACAACUCUUAAGGAAUGCAGUUCAGAUAGGGAAGUGUCAGGUAUUUUGCACAUUUCCUAUUUCCAGCUCAUUAGUUUCAGCUUUUGACAGGGGUGGAGCUGAAAGAGGGGGUCAGAAAUCCUGUGGAGGUUUUUCUCUCCUCCCAAUUUCACAUGAAUAAACAGAGGGAGGGAGUCCCCUGCCUGUCUGCCAGGCUCUUAUCUAUCAUAUUUAGAUGCUAGAUGCUGUCAGAUACUAGAUAGCAAUGCCUGUAGGUAUUGCCAGUUACUGGGAAAUUAAACCUGGAACAGAAGAUACUCCUUUUCAUUCCCAAACUGACCUUAUGAUAUGAGUAGGUUUCAACAUCCUUCAAAAAACACUGAUGUCCAGACAAAGGUGGCAUUAUUAUAUUUUCAUCAUUUGCUACUCACACCUGAUUAUUAUUAUUUUUUUUCUCAUGUUGUCCACAAGUCUCUUACCAGCACCUUAUCUGUACCUUUUCUUUUGCCUACAUUAAUGUGUUCCUCUCAAAUCCAGGUUCUCUCACUCCGGAAGUUGUGGGUUUAGUACUGCACUGCUGGUUUUAAUUUGAACUUUCCUGAGUAUUAGGGAUUAUCAGAAAUACCUUGUUUUCAAAAAUAAAAUAGAAAGUGAAAAAAUAUACCUAGUUUUCCUUUAUUUCCCUAAAAAACAUUUCAGAAAAUGACAAUGCUUCCCUAGAGAGCGUUACUGUAAGAGGGACUUCGAUCUAAUUCGUGGAAUAUGUGCCUAUGAUCACUAACAGUCAAGUUAGCAAUUACCACCCUUGUGCAAGAAGAUACACACUGUAAGCCAAGAUAAGAUAUCCACACAAGCACACUGUCCCUACUAGCAGUAGAACAAACCUAGCCAGCACAAACUGCAAUAUAAAUGCUUUCAUGCAUUCAGCUGCUCUUUCAUCUGAAGGCUGAUAAAUUCCAGCUGAUGGAAGUUAACUUCUUAAGACACUGUUGGAGCAUCCCUUGGUUUGUUGUUGGUAGGAUAUAAAUUAAUAUUGAUAUUUAAGGUACUUUGUUUACAGAGAGGAAAGCCAGCAAUAUGGCCUAACUUUUGACUGAGUGAGGUCUCAGAGGUUACUUUGCACUGGCAUGAUCAUCCACACCUUUGGAUUACUUUUUGAAAAAUCUUUGUGGAUCAUGAGAUGCUUCUACUGUGAUAUGAAAAGAAAAUGACUGGCUUUGAUUUGAUGGUCAGGUGGAAUUUCAGUUUGGUUCCUAUCACCUCUCAGACUUGCUUAGAUGAUUCUGUUCCUAAAGUCUGUAUGGGUGUCAGGAAGAACAAUUAUGACUUGUUUUAAAGCUGUUCUGUUAGGGUCACAGGUGAAGUAAAAGACCCAUAACAUUUACCAAUAAUCAUUAGGACAGAGCAUAAGUAUUCACUUUGAAUUAACUUGUAAGCUAGAAGCAUUAACAAAGGCUGCAGGAAGUAUAAUUCUGGGAGGCUCAAAUCUGAAAUUUAUUUUGUCGCACUGUCAUAAAGGGGGUGCAACUUCUUUAAUGGAUUUGAGCCGUUACUAAAUGCAGUAGAGAACCAUAGGAUUCAGUGGACUUCACACAGCCAGGAGUUCAGAGUCUGCCCACUGUGGCUGGUGAGCUAUUUCAGAUGUCUGUUUCUAGCAGAAAUAGACCCGAAAGUGGGUUUACUCUCAAAGAAGAAAAAAGUAGGGUGAUGUAAAUUUCUCUUAAUUUGAGACUACAUUAUGGCCUGCUGCUGCUCAGUCAAAGAAGAUCAAAAAAAAAAAAAAAAAAAAAAAAAAAAUAGUUGCCUUUCUUGCUCUGAGUUUCUAACUGUCCUGCUCAGAUUGUGAAGCUAACAGUAGCUAAUAAAGGAGUAAGUGAACCAAACAUGAAUAACAUUUAGUUUAAAACCUAUCAGAUGGCAGAUGGGCCAUGUCUCAUAGGUGUCGUGGAGACAGUUCAGUGGAGAAGAUGCUGACCUAAUGGUGGCAAGAAUAUACUCCUGCCACUGCUGAUCAUUUUUCAUGGAUUCCCAGUUGGUUGUUUGAUAUGCAACUCCAAAAUUUAUUGUUUUUCUCCUUUUUCUUUCCUUUCUGUCAGCCAAUAAAGAGAAACCAUAACAUCAGCAGUGUUUGAAAACAUAUUUAUGUUUGUUUCCCCUAUAAAAAGAGAUAAUAAUGUUAUGUUCCAAUAAUAUUAAGUUGCAAUGUUAUUUGCAAGAUUGCAGAGCUUUUAAUUUUCUGAUUAUUUCCACAGUGGGAGUUUCAGCUCAAUUUCUACUAAGACAUUUCUAUCUGUUUUGGUUAUUUUUUUAUUACAGCUAGAAGCAACAAUAAUUGCCUUUAGUGUAUGAAAACAUGACUGAGGAGACAAUUGUCGUCCCUAAAGACUAAAAUCAUCAGCAUACAUUUUUGAUGUAAAAUUUUUGUAAAUUAAUUGCAAGGUCCUAUAAAUAUUAUAUUUACUAAAAUUGUGUUGUCUGCUGUCUUCAAAGAAAUAAUCUUUUCCUUUUUCUUUCUCUCUCUUUUUUUUUUUAACUAUGUUUCGUAUGCAGUACAUUUCCUGAGGCAGAAAACAAAAACAUGGAACAAAAUAUUAGCCUUUUACUUUUGUAGUUUUACAUUCUACUAUUUCUCUUUUUGAACUCUGGGGUUUCUUUUUAAUAUAGAGAAAAAGAUCAGUAACACUGUCAUUAAUCAUGACCAAUUUUCAGUUUCUCACUGUUCAGUUGAUCAAAAAAUUGAAUAUCCAUCCCAAAUAAUAAGGCAGUAUUCUUGCAUUUGAUUUUCUCACAGACCAGGAAAAUAAAUUCAAAAUGUCAAACGUUUUGUAGAAUAUCUUUUUCUGCAAUUCCUAUUCAGAAACAAUAAAAUGAAAUCUUUUAGAUGUCUCAUAAUGAAAGUGCUCCCACCCAGUUACAUCCUGGGAGAAAUUAUCUAUCACGACUUAUAAAGGAAAUAUCGUCUGCAACCACCCAUAGAGGAACCUGACAGACUGUCAAAGACCUGGAACUACAGUUGUCAAAAGUCCCUGAGAUAACUUGGGUAGAUGCCAAGAUUAAUAAGCCUAAUUAAAAUUACACUACUUUAUUUCCAUUUUUUCCUUGUAGAAUAAUAAACCACAGUCAGCCUAGAUUUUGUUUUUUAAAGAUCUAUUUUUUUACCUGGCUGUGUUAACAUCUCUCCAGUUGCAUUAUCUCACAGUCUGGUAUGUCCUGUGCAACCCAGAUGUAUAGUUGUUUCACAAGAUUUAUGAGUACAUGGCAAAGUUCUCAAGACAAACAGAUUAUGUCCUUUCCGAAUAGCUGUGUUUGACUGCAGGAGCUACAGAGUAUUUUGGAUAAAUGUGCUCAGCAGGCCUUUCUUUGAAGGAGACAGAUAGUGUAACAGCUAAUAUCAAGAACAGUGAUUAGCACCAAUAGAUUUUAGCAGAUUUACUCCAGUCAUAAUGGUAGCCCUUAAACUUGAGGAGGCAGUGCACUGGACUUACAUUAACUCUAGCAAAUUUGCUCCUAGAAAAGCAGUGGAAAACCUAGGGAAGAUUCUUACUAAUAAAGCACACUUUCAUAAGAAAAUCUGCUCUCCAAGGAAGAUCAGGGACAAGAUUAUACAGACAACCAGGACAAAAAUCAGUAGACAAGAAAAACUUCAGAAAUACUUAGUCUGUGGUUACUGUCUAAGAAUUAACUAUUUUUUUAUUUUUUAUUUUUUUGUUAAGACAGAUAUCAGGUCACUUUUUGAGACCAAUCACAGCUGCAGCUAUACCUGGAGUAGGACCUUGCUUUGGUUCUUCAUGAUUGCUAUAUCUAAAGUACAGCAGGAUGCAGCCAGAUAUGUCAAACUGCCCUUGUUUUCAACCAGGUAUUAGAUUCACAACUUCCUAAUGUAAAGAAAAAAAAAAAUUAUCUGUACUUUUGAAGACUGAAUUCAUCUCCAGGUAAUACAAAUGAGAAACGGUGCUCUUCCCCACAGUAAUAGGAUUGCAAUCAAGCUCUCAAUGUGAUUUACAAACUCUGUAGUGUUAACCAAUUACUUGCUGGUCAGCCAAUAACAAUGACUGAAUCAUCUUUUGCUUCAGAAAAGGAUCACUGCGCACAAGUUGGAGAAUCUCACAGCACUGCCUUCAAACCAUUCCUACUAAAUAAGACACUGCACUUCUCUGUCGAUAGAUACUAUAUGGUAUUUUAGCCCAAGAAACUUAUGUCAGGAUCUAUAAAAACAACUGGGAACAUGCAGAAUAAUUGAAUCUUAAAUGAUUGUGUAUAAUGUGUCUGCAUUUAUAUUUCAGCAUUUAAAUGCGUUUCAAUACUUUGGUGUGUGAAAGGGUUAAACAAUAACAGAUUUCCUGUGCUAAACAGCUUAAUGAAAAACAUUCAGGGUGCUUUUUUAGAACAACAGACUCAUACUGCAAAAUGAUAAUCUUUGGUAUGUCCUUUUUUUUUUUCUUUUUCACAAGUAACAAUAUAGGCGAGACAGACUUUGCUAUAAUUCUUCCUAAUUGCUCUAAUGCAUUUCAUUUUAUUUUAGUGUUUUCAGUUUAUAAAAACAGUUAGCAUCAGUUUGUUUCCAGUUUUAAUGGAGAUAAACUCCUUCUUUUCCCCCUGAAAAAAUUCACAAUAUGGUUGGAAAUGUCAGCAAUAAUUAGACAAAAUGCUUGUGAAACAUAAAAUAAAAACAAUACGUCUUUUUAUAAUGGAAUCAGUUUGUCUGAUUAUCUCAAACAAUGUACAUUUCCAACUGCCCAGGAGGGUCAUUAGAGCUUAUGAAAAUCAAAGUCUGCUUUUUCUGCUUCAGACAUCAUGGACAACAAUAUUGUCUCCAGGAUCAUUAUAAAUAUAUGUUAGACUUUCUUGAACUACAGUGAACCUGAAGCAUGAAAUGCAUUUAAAGAUAAAAACAUCAGGGGGAAAAAAAAAGAAAAAAUGAAAAACAAAACAAAAAAGCAAACAAAUAAAUCCACUUUGUGUUAUUAACUAAAUAAGUGUUACAUAGAAAUUAUAGUUGGAUACAUAACCUCGCUGAAUACAGUACUCAAGGGACCUUGGUUCUAUUCUGUCAUCAGUCACAGAUUUCCAGUAUAACCUCAGAAAAGUCAUUUCCUACCCUAUGCACAAUGAGGGCUAUUUGUCCCUUAAAGAGAUGGUUGUGACAGAGCUCCCUUCUGAGUUCCUGUCUAGGUGUGAAGUCUAAUUCAAGAAGUUUCUGUUAUUCCUUUGAGAUACACUCAGAGAAUAGACAAGAGUAUCACUUCUACCUUUUUUCCCAUUUGUAGAAAUGGGGCUAAUAUUCUCUUGCUCUCACUGGAGAGUUUAUGGAUACAAUCCAUUAGUGUGUGAGAGGCAUUCAGAUACCAUGAUGACAAGGACCAUUUAGCAAGUAAAUAUCUGGAUGGAGUAGGAGGAAUUCAGCUGCUGUUACCACAUUACAUUACAAAUAGUUUAGGACAAAAGACAAACGGGAAGUCUGAUAAGUUUAUCGUAUGAUCAGUUAUAGUCAUACAACAAUUCUGCACUCAAGGAACCUGGAAAGCUGUUUCAAAAAUGAAGUUUCCACCUGUUUAGUUUGUUUACCAAUAAGUGUGGCAGUAUGCCUAUUCUGCCCAGUGGUUUAAGCACUUUUCUCCUGCUCAUACAUGCUGGGUUUUCAGUCUUCAAUUGCAUCUUUCAGAUUCAGCAGCAGUGUCACACGGCAAGAUGGAAUUCUAGGGAUGCUGCUGCGUUGUUUUGGAUGGGAUCCUACUAUAUCAGCUGCCAAAGUGCCCAAGGAAAAACUGAAACUUACAGGAAAAUUAUAGCGACAUGAAGAAAUUUCAUUAAAAGUGACAUGUUCUAAACCUUUUAGAAAUACAAAAAUCUGUUGAAGAUCCCAAGAUGUGUGUAGAAAAUGUGGGUAAGAAAAGAAAAUGCAUUACUAAACUAAUCUAAAACCAAAGCAGGUAUUUCUCUGCUAUAGUAUUGCUACACAUAUGCUCUUGUUAGUACAAGCAAAUGCUUACCAAUAAUGAACAAUCUCUGUUGGUUGCAAUGCUCAAGCACAAAUUAAACAAUGCUAAAAACUAUUAUUAAAGCACAUGAAGGAAUUAAUACAUAAAAUCCUUCUGCUACUUCAAAUUCACAGCAAAGCGAUUCCUCUCAGCUAAGCCAUCAGUACAAUGUACAGAAGCCUAUUUUUAGGAAUGGUUAAGGGAACAUACUUUCCAUGGAUCUCCAUGUAUUUCAAGCCUACUAAGGGUACAACCCAUCCUAUCAGAGUAGGUUUAUUUGGAGGAGGAGGACAAGGAUCCCUGCUCACACUGCCUCCCAUGGCAUGAGAAAUGAGAAUAUUCUCGACAUCCCAGUAGCAAUAGGAGUAGAUAUGAUCCACUGUAAAAUCCUGUGAGCUUCAUUAUCAGUUUCAGAUGAGGGUUCUGUUUGUAAUUAGCAGAAACCAAACCAAUGAAGUAGUAUUUGGUUUUCUUUUGUGUGUUUUGCUCUCCAACAGUUGCUGAACACUUCAUUUUAGUCCACCAAUUCCUCAGCUAGUGACACAGCCCAGUCAGGGUCACAGGCCCAAAAUGUAUUCCACCUCUAUGCUCACCUGUCUCUUAAGCAGGGAAAUUAAAAUUCAUUGUCAAAAUAAGCAGAGAUUUUGCAGAUUGAAACAAGAGAGGAAUAGCACUUCUCUCUCUUGUGUCUUCUACAGUGUAACACAGCAGAGAAAGUAAAGCCCAGGGAAAAACAAAUUAGAGUGACCCCAAUGUCCUGAAGACAAUAUUUUCAAGCUUCAUCAUUGAAAUAAAGAUUUGAGAAAUCACCAAUCAACAGCUCAAAUCCACCAGAAGCAGAACGUCAAGUUUGGGCCCACAUGCAGAUUCUCACAUGAGGCUUUCACAUGGUAAACAGCCAAUGUUUGAAAAGGCACACAGCAGAAAUUGUUGGAAGAAACAUUAGCUGGGAGGGCAGGCCCAUUGCCUUAGCUCUCCAAGGCAGACUGAAACAAUAGCAAGUGACACAGAUGAAUUUUCACCUUGUCUACCGGUACUGCCACAGAAAGGAUGUAAUGCAAUCUCCUGAGAAGUCCAUUGUCCUCAUGGCACUGUGUGAAAUCUGUGACAAUGUCAGAACUUGGUCAUAGCUCCACGUUCUCUGCCAGAAACAUAAGCAUGCUUCGAGUGCAUUAUUCUUUUAGAGGGGGGCCUCGAAAAGUUCAGCUGUAGGAUUUUCUCAUCAGCUUAAUUUUUCCAUGUUCUGUUUCGUUUCUGGUAUUUUCCCACUUAUGUUAUUUGCUUGCUGAAGCUGCUCCAUUCAUGGAGUUCAGUAAAUGGUGUUUGCCAUCAGAACAAUUUGAUUCUAGUUCUAAUUAUAACAACAAGCUGCUUUCUUCAAACAUAAUAUGGGUGUUUCAUUAUUUUAAAUUGUUAUCUUCCAUAUUAAUUACAGAAACAGUUGAUCUUUUCUGAGAAACCAGCAGCUGCAAAUUCCCCCCUUUUUAAAUGUCUCAUUUUAAUAGGUGAAACAUCAGGUAAAAAUUAAAUCAGAUUGUAUCAUAAUUCUCCAGAAGAAGAUAUGUAAGUUACAACACAUUGCCUCCAUAUUCCAUAGGGUUACACUAUUCAGGUGUAUUCAACCAUGUAGCUUAGUAUAGAUCACACAGCUCAGUUGCAGACACAGUGCCCCUAAAUAAAUCACACAGCAAUGGCAACAUUACUAAUGAGACUAUCAGAAUCAAAGGAAGCAGGGUGAUGCAUCUGAGUAGAGCCUACAUCAUUAUUCUGCAUGAUUUGUUUAUGGUAUUGUUGGUGAGUCGUGUUUCUCCCCCCUCCUUUCCUAGUCCAUCUGGAUUAAAAAUGGGAACUAGAAGAACUGAAGUCCUGGAAUAGCCUGUACACAACAGUCCUGCAGUCAUAAGGAGGGGUGGUCUGGUGCUUCUUGCAAGGCAUCUGAUUACACAAACUCACUUAUCAUCUGUACUCUGCAGCAGUUCAAGAACUGAACUUCUGACAGUUUUCUUCUGUCACGUAUUUGUAGCUACUGAUCUCCAUGAUCCCUGAAAGAAGUAUAACUCAGUUACUGAGCCUGCUGACACUCAUGUCAUACUUUUUUCCAUCCUCACUCAAAGCAGUGAUCGAAAUUUAUUCCUAUUUUGUGAAGUACAGAGUAACGAAUUUCCAAUACUAGUGGCUUUUUCUCCACAAUAGAACUCCACAUUUCUGAAAGGGAAAGUUAAUGUUGGAGAUGAGAAUAUGCUACCAGCAAAGCUAAGUUAUUUAGCAUUUCUACAGUAUUUAAAAUUUCUUCAGAUAAAAUAUGAGAAUUAUAUUUAAAAAAAAAAAGAAGAAGAAGAAGAAGAAGAAAAAGACAAACAAACACAGAACAGUUUUCUAAAGAUGAUAUGUAAGCUGCACAACACUGAGAUUCUCCUUGGACAUAAAUUGCUGACAACAUGUCAAAUCUUUUCCACAACUGGGAUACAUUUACAUUGUUUUAAACAUGGAGUUACUUCUUUGCUGUUUAGGAUUUGGCCAAAUUUAAACAUGCUUGGAAGACAGAGACUUAACUUCUCAAAUAAUUUAUUGAUUGCCGAUAGAAACAUUUUUUCUUAAAUUGUGCAAAUAAGAGCUAGAUAACAUUGAGAAUAGGAGCUUUCAAAACCUCUGCACUGAUCACAUCUGACAAACAAGAUAGGAAAAAAAUAUUAAAAAAAAAAAAAGAAAAAGAAAAGAGUUUAAAAGAAGAGUGAUAACAACACAACAAAACAGCAAAACAAAACAACACAGAAAAAACAACUCAAAACACAACCCAAACCUAGAGCUUAACCAAAUAAUUCAAUGUUCUUCCCCAAAACCAAUGGAGAGAGGAAUAUAAAUCAUGAAUUUAUAAUAAAAAAAAAAUGAUUUUUUUUUCCUAAAUCAAUGGUACUCCUAAACACGCUUCAAACAAUAAAGUAAGACUUUGCAGUGAUGAGUAGUUCAAAACAAUUCUUCAACCAGAUGGUUACAACUGUGGUUUUCUGUACUCCCCUUUCAUUUUCCCUUUCUUACAUGUCCCUCCCACUUUGCAUCAUACCAAUUAAUAUCUUUCCUUCCCUAACAGCCCUCUAGAUAAUUCACAGAGGCAUUUUUCUGUGUGGCCUAGCAUUAAACAGAAACUAUUAAACAGUCAACUCCUAUUUCUUCUAUAGAAUUAAUGUCAUGUUAACUCACAGAAUGCCUUGCUGUUUAAUCACACAUGAAUGAGGUAUUUUAAAGAAGUUGUAAGGUAUUUCAGCCACACCCUAAGAACAUUCCGCUGAUUUAAACCAGGAUGCACUAAACCUGUUUUAGAUACAGUAUAGGAACACUACUUUUAAUUGCUAAUUUUUGCCUUACAAAUCUAAGUAGAAAUAACAAGGAAAAUAUAAUGCUCUUUAAAACAGAAAAAUUGAGUUGAAGUUUUGUGCAAUUUGAUGCCUUGCUGGCAUUUUAGGACUUACUAUUAAAACUCACAUGAAAGUAACCUGAAGGAAAGUUCUCUGGAAGGACAAAGGAAUCAAAUUGUGUCUUUGAUGCUUAUAGACAUAUUCUGGAGUGAUUUUAUAUUGAAUCCCACUUCCAUGAGAACUAUGUGGUUUUAUUCAUGGAGGUGUAAGCACCUGAGCACUCAUCUCUAUGAGUAACAAUAUUCAGAGUUCCAUUGUAUUCUAUUAUAUUAUGACUAGCAGCCUCCAAAUCUGCACUGAAGUAGUUUGAUGCAUUAUCAGCAUUUUGAUCCAACCAUAGCUCAUUAUCUGUGGUCUUACUACUGAUGUGUCUCCAGUCAUGACUCAGAACGGCAGUGCUGGGGCCCAUGUGACCAGAUCCCCUUUCAUCUCCGGGGCUCCAUUUUCUUUAUAAAACAAAGAGGUGCCAUCACAAAUGUACUUUUUGGCAUUUCCCUGUCAGCCAGAAUCAACCUGCUAACUGAUAGGUGUGCUGUGUCUCCUAGAGGGUCUAGAUGUGCAUAUGUGGUUGCAUCCAUGCUCAGAAACAAGGUGCUUAAUCAUGGCAAAGUACAGGGACAUUAAAACCCAUCCAGUUCCAACCCCCUGCCAUGGUCUGGCUGCCCCCCAACAGACUGGGGCCCAGGGCCCCAUCCCACCCAGCCUUGAACGCUUCUAGAGGUGAGGUACCUACAGCUUCUCUGGCAGCCUGUCCCAGCACCUCACCAUUCUCUGAGUAAAGAAUUUUUUGGUAACAUCUAACCUAAAUUUCCACUAUUUUAGUUUAAAGCCAUUCCCCCUUCUUCUAUCACUCUUAUACAGUGUUUCAGUGCUAAACAUAUUAAUUACAUAUCCCCAGAAAUUUUUGAACUGCAGCAGUCAGGCUGGAAGGGAACAGUCACAGCAGCAGCACUUUUAGUCCCAUGGAGGAAAGAUUCCAGAUCUCAAAUGCCAGAAUUCAUGUGUGCAGAGAGCACCAAGAAGUGCUGCAGAGAGCACCAAGAGCCAACAGGAACGAUGGUGCCUUUUAAUCUUGGUAAUAAAUGAGCAAAUGCAGCAAAGUAGAAUUUAUCUGUUAGCACUGACAGUUGUUAAAGACCAUGUAACUGUCUGUAAUGUAUAUAGAAUUAUUGACAUCAGAUGUGUUUAUAUUUAGGUUAAACAACUAUAUUGUUUUUAUAAGAGAAAACUGUUUCUGAAAACAAUAGGCCAAAUUGCUUUUUCUUGCUAAGAACAAUGAUGCAAUUCUGCCAGUACCAACAAUUUUUAUUACAGAAUCAGCUAACUGAAAACACAAGGCUCUUUAACAACAUGUAUCUUACAAAGCACUCCAGUGCAUGCUGAUGCUGUUUUGCUUUGUUUGCCAGUCAAGAUGGGUAAAAGCAAUUUGUAUUUUGCAUUUUGCUUGUUAUUUCACUUUUCCUUUGUGUGGUUCCUCUUGCUUUCCUUUCUUUUCAUGCAGGCAAGCUCCAUUUCUUCUAAAUUUUUCACUAUCAAAACUACUUCGAUGAAAUCAGAGUCAGCUGAAGAGAAAAAGGCAAAUCCUUCCGGGAUGAGGAAGAAACAGAAGGAAAAGAGAAGAGAAUUGAGAUGGAAAAUACAUUCUUGUCUCCAGAAAUAAGCAAGGCUCCCCAGAAUUUGGAGAUUAUGCAGUCACAGUUACCACAGCAAACGUAUUCUGAGCCGUGUCUUGGACCAUCCCAUUAAAGAUUUUCAAAUACACAACUAUAGGACUGCUUGCAAGAGGGCUGCAUAUUUGAAAUUUGUUUAAAUGCUAGUGUUAUGGAAAGCAUAAUCGGUACAGAUAUACCAAAACUGAGUCUGUAAAACAGAAAAUAAACCUUGCCAUUUGCCAUUUAGAGGCAGUUUAAAACAAGGUCUUUGACUUUGGACUGUACCUGGCAGGUUAGAGAUUCACUAGAUGUGCAGAAGAUGCAGCAAACUGAGAUCAUAGACUAAUGAUUUAGAUUUAAGAUUUAAACUAUAUCUCAUUGUCAUUGAGAUAACAUAAUAACUGAAUUAAAAAAAAAAAAAAACUGGCUUUUGUCAGUGCAAAAAUUAAGCUCUUGUGCUUGCCUCAGUAAUGAAAUAUACAACAUCUCUUGUUGUCCUUACCUUUGAACUGCAGAUAACUGUACAGCAAUGUUACAGGACAGAGAUACACUUGUGAAAUAUUCACGAGCUGAUGUCUUUGCAGCCCCACGGGACCAGUGAAGAGCUCUUUUUUCCCCCACAUCUCUCUCUCAGACUUUAAAUAAUGAGGAGCAGAAAAGGUAUGAGACAACAUGUCUGUGUGUCUCCUUUGAAAUCUUUUCUUACAUUACCUUGUUAUCUGUGCUCAAGAGCAGCAGGUAUUCCAGCAGUUCAGAGUGUAUCCACAGCAAAAACACCCAGCAAAAUAGACUACCAGUCGACACAGCUUUCAGUUCCUGGUCCAGUCGGCAAAACACAAAACUAAUACAUAGGGGAGUGCCAGCCUGGCUGAGGCUAGAGGGGAGUGAAGGCAGAAUUUUUGCCAACCAGUGAUUUAGGAAAAUAUAUAUUAUUCAUCCUGGAAAACAACCUAAUGCACUGUUUCCUACUCUGUGCUCUGAAAGUGCCUUCAUAUGGAAAGCUAUUAAACUUCUAUAUGUUUUUAGCAUUACAGCGUGGAUCAAAGCCUGACCACCCCAGGCAGAUGAGAGUGUCAGAUCCCUCCACCAGUCAGGAGGAUUUGGAUCAGUGUUUUCACUUUAGCCGUCAGUGGUGAAGAAAUCCAUCCAGACCUGAAUUUGGAGUUUUUCCUAUGCUACAGUACUGUGCAUUGGGAAAGACCAUCCUGAACUUACUAUGGGUGGAAUUCCACUUGUUUCUACCACUCUAAGUCAGGCUGGAGCAUGGACAAGAAUUAAAUCAGACCAGACUUAUCAGGGGAAUUCACCUUGUCAUCAAGGCAAACGUAACACUUUUUUUUUUUUUUUUUUUUUUUGAGGAGGCAUCACAUUUUAAAUUUCAAGUGCUGUAAGUCUUCUAACCCCCUUUUUUUAUUCCUUCUGUGAUACAAAAAUGCUUAUAUAACAGGUAUUUUCCCACACCAGCCUUAAAAGCCCUUAUUUCCUUUCUUUUUUUAUUUCAACAGACUAAUAGUCAUUGCAACACAGGUGACAGUAAAUCAAAUCAAGUUGAAAUGUCGGCCUGACUCAUUCUCAGACGAUAUAUGAUUUGUUUGCAUUGCAUUAUCUUGGAAACCCAUAGCCAGUGUGCACUAACUACAUGUCUGCACAUGGCAAGAAGAUAAACACCCUUAGCCAGUAAUAUAAAAUCUAAAUAAAAUUACAAUCAGGUUUGUAUACUAGGAUAGCUUUGUAACACCCAUGGGGCAUUACUCUUAUCAUUAGAAUUAUUUGCAUUAGAGCAGUGUCCAAAGAUCCUGCCUAUGAUCAGGUUCAAAUUGUGCUAGGCUCUGGAAAACAUGGGAAGAGACAAAAAUUCUGAAUGUUAAAUAGAUAAUUACAUGCAAAGGGUGUGAGAAAGAAAGGAUGGCUAUCAUUAUUUUGUAGAGAACUUAGGUGUGGAGAUUACAUUUUUGCUACAUUCUAAGCAUAGGUGCAAAGCAAUGCUGAAGUACAAGUCUGAUUUGCAUGUUCUUUGCACACCAUAACAUGUGUAGGUUACCACGGCUUUGUGGAAAUACUGAUAACAGUGGGAGAGAAAGCUUGAGUCUUCCAUCUCCAGCCACACACAUGGGCAGCUGGAAACGGGUGGCUAGGCUUUUCGCCUGAGGCAACAGCCACGCAUCCUGUCAUGCUGUCCUCUGACACUAUUUGAGUGCUGAUCAGACACGCCUGCCCAAGUUGUUCCCAUAAAGGCUUAGAGCCCUGCAACACAGGAUAGAUGGGCAGGAGAGUUACAGGAACGCCAAGCCCAGAGUCAGAUACCUGAAUGGAUGCCCAGACAACAUGAGUGGGUUUUUUGUUUAUUUUUUCUUUUUCCUCUCUUGGGCAGACCACAUGUUUUCUGUAAAGUCAUAAAAAAAUCUAAGUGGUGCUAAGAACCAGUCACCUCACUCCAGUUUGGCAUUUGCAAAUUCACCAUUCCUCUCUAAGGUAACAGCUGCUGGAACUACACCAGCAACUUCUUCAAAAAACAGGACAAGUGGUCUUUCAGUGGUGAAAGAUCUGCUGAACUCAAAGGAAGCUGCAUCUGGAGUAACAUUUCAAUGUAUACGCUGUGCAUGCUUACAAGUUUUAUGAUUACAGAAACAGCCAGCACAAUGCUGGGCUGACGAAAGAGGGGGUGGAUGUUUAGAUGCUGCUGUUUCACUUCAUGUUGGCAGGGAUAUGGAAAUUAUGAAGUGAUAAGGAGAGAUGUAAGAGGGAGGAGAAGGCAUGAGUGAUUGAUUAUGUGCUUAAUUAAGCAAUGUUGGCCACAUCAAGUUGUAGUGAAGUCUCUGUACAUCUGUAGCAUGCUUUUAGUCCCAGGCAAUAAAUUGGCUACCUGCCUCUGAAUGGACAGUGAGGGGAAAAUACUUUUGAAGGUAGAAAUGUUGGCUAUCCAGAAGCGAUGGAUGGUUACUUACUAUUUUUUUUUGUCUUUGAAGACUGUAUAUUAUCAGUUAACAUAAUGAACUCACCAAGUGGUCCAGUAACCCACGGAAGUAAUUCUACUUAGAUCACUGAAAUAAAAGGCAGGAGCAAGGCUUUCAGACUUAGGCCUCAAACAAAAACUAACAUUCAAGGAUAGCAAGCUUUUCCUCCUGUUUAAGCUCCUUUAAUAAAAAUGCAAAUAUUGCUUUCUUAACCACAAUAGGAACUCUAGUCAUUAUUUUUCAAUACUAAUGUUAGUGUUUUCCUAUAACUUCUGUUGUGCUGUAAUUCUAGAGGCCCAUGUCUAAUCCCAUAUGUAAUGUGUUUAUUAGAUGUAAUAUUUUAUCUCUUGGAUACAGUUUCUGACACUAUCAUUUUGUUCUUAUUUCAAUAAAACUGAUUUCCUUCCUUCUCACCCUGACAGGAUGCAUUGAAUUUCUUUAUCACAGAAGAAAGUUAGAAAGGUUCUCCCAUAAAAGACAAAAAUGGACUGCAUGUAGUGUGGCUUAAUUUAAUUUAUCUCAUAAAGUCCAGACCAAAUAAAGUAACUUUAUAAUAUUAGAUACGGCCAGAAUUGAGCUGGGAUUCUUUUGUUGUUGUUGUUUGUUUUUAAUAUAUGGUUAUCUAGUCUCAGUAAAUCUGUAGCUCAUUGGCUUCACCACCUGUAUCCUUCUGAACACAGAAUGAAACAGUACCAAAUGCUCAUGCAAUUUCUGAUUUUCUUUGGGAAUUCACUAUCUGUGUGCUUUAAUCAAGUGAUAAUAUGUAGGAACCAUUCCAGCUUUCAGCUGACAAAAGCACAAUAUUAGUUGUUUGAUGAGAACUCCUCUAUGGAUACAAAUUCCACAUGGAUUUUCCCAGGCUUUGUAAAUUUAUUAAAAAAUAAUAUAUUCUAUACACAAUUAGAACAUGAAUGUUAAAAGAGUAAGUAAAGUAAUUUGUUGGGAAUGUGAAAUCAUCUAGAAAAGAAAGAUGUUUUCGUAUAAUUUUAGCUGUCACAUAAUAAUUUGCAAAACACAGAAGGCAUUUGAAACCUUUGGUAUCCAGAUCCAGAUUCCCAGUAGAAAAGUAUUCCUUUCAGGCUACCUUCUGGAAUAAAGGUCUUCUUUAUCUCCUUUAUCAUAUUGGUAGUGUUUCACUAAACAGACAGUCAGAAGCUGCUGUUGAAUAGGGAAGCUGGAAAACGCUCAUCUUAUUUCAUAUUCAUUUUCCACACCUUGUCAACAACUGCACAGCUCACCACUGAAGCUGCAUUUCAUGCAAUGCAUCCAAAGGUUACAACUUAUAGGUCAGAGAUGGGAAUUUUCACUUCGCAAUCACUGGGCAGCUGAGACUCCAUACAUUACUGUGGUGACAGGUAUAGUACGCAGUGAUGAACCUUCUGUCAGUCAGACAGAGGUCACAUUGGUAUCAGUUACUAACAUACCCCUCUCCUAGCUUAAAAAAAAAAAAAAAAAAAAAAAAAAAAGGAAAAUUAAAAAAAGUCUAUUUUUUUUCUUCUUGUGGAAAAUGGAAACAGAGUUGAUGUUCACUAAUGUCAAGUGGCAGGAGAUUUAGAGCCCCAGAGCUCAGGAGGUCUCCUGUAGCUGUGCUGGCAGUACUUUCAGCACCAACAUAAAUCGCCGCCUGAACUGAAACCCACAAAAGCUGUUCCAGAAGAAACUACAACAGCCACGUAAACAUGUACUGGACAGGAAACAAUGAACUCCAACCUGGUACUGGAGAAUCCAAAAUAAGAGCAUGUCAACUUCCUGGUCAUAGCUAUUUUAUUUUUUUUCGUAUUUAGCAUCACUUACACAAAAACAGUUAAAAAUUAUUACCUUAGCAGACAGUCAGAUUUUUAGUUUUUGUAAUGAGGUGGCUGAAUCUCACAUUAAAGAGGAAGCUGUAACACAAAUAAGAGGAAGUGAAUAAGUACUUAAGAUGUACCUUCAACUCCGUAAUUUUAACGCUUUCAUGAAGAGAUCAGAAUACAAAAUCUAUCAUCAUUAAUUAUAUCCUGUUAUACCAUCCUUGUGUUCUUUGCCAAAUAAAUGCCAUAACACAUCAGAUAACAACAGAAUAUUUACAUUACAAAGGUUAAAGGAUCAUGCUAUCUGUAGCUAGGUCAAAGUAUUUUGGUCAACUGCAAUAAAAUUUUGUCUGAAGGUCCCCAGAGGUUAAUGCGAUCACUGAACUUCACAGUCAGUUUAUGAAUAAGACCUUAAAAGAAUAUUCCUAAGUUCCUGCAUUUUCCUACUUGUGGUACUUGAACAUCCACAAGCAAAUACUGGCCUUCCUAAACAAGACAGUUGGAUGACACAUUUUUUUUGUGUCAAAAAGGAAGCCCUUCUUCCCCUCAAAAAAAAAGAAAAAAAAAAAAAACCUAGCAUAAAGCAGACUCUAUACACAUGGAAUAAAUUGAUUUUACCAAGGCUAAAUUUGUCUAGUGGAGCCUAUACUUGAGAUCAUUCAAGCGCUCUCUUGAGUUAUCUCAUUGUAGCAGAGUUUGCAGGACAGGGCCUUGAAUUUGUUUCUGCCAUACAAAGUUGAUAUAUAAGAAGACAGGAUUUAAUUGAAACAUCUUGAAAGAG
rnacentral:lncRNA from 1 species